rnacentral:rRNA from 1 species
CGGCGCCUACGGGGGGCAGCAGUGGGGAAUAUUGCGCAAUGGGGGCAACCCUGACGCAGCAACGCCGCGUGAUAGAAGACGGCCUUCGGGUUGUAAAGAUCUUUAAUCGGGGACGAAUUUUGACGGUACCCGAAGAAUAAGCUCCGGCUAACUACGUGCCAGCAGCCGCGGUAAUACGUAGGGAGCAAGCGUUAUCCGGAUUUACUGGGUGUAAAGGGCGUGUAGGCGGGCAUGCAAGCCAGAAGGGAAAUCUGGGGGCUUAACCCCCAAACAGCUUUUGGAACUGCGGGUCUUGA